rnacentral:rRNA from 1 species
CCUACGGGUGGCAGCAGUGGGGAAUAUUGGGCAAUGGGCGCAAGCCUGACCCAGCAACGCCGCGUGAAGGAAGACGGCUUUAGGGUUGUAAACUUCUUUUGUCAGGGAAGAGUAGAAGACGGUACCUGACGAAUAAGACACGGCUAACUCAGUGCCAGCAGCCGAGGUAAUACGUAGGUGGCCAGCGAUCUCCGGAUUUACUGGGUGUAAAGGGCGUGUAGCCGGGUUGACAAGUCAGAUGUGAAAUCCUGCGGCUUAACCGCAGAACUGCAUUUGAAACUGUUGAUCUUGAGUACUGGUGAGGCAGGUGGAAUUCCUGGUGUAGCGGUGAAAUGCGUAGAUAUUAGGAGGAACACCAGUGGCGAAGGCGGUCUGCUGGACAGCAACUGACGGUGAGGCGCGAAAGCGUGGGGAGCAAACAGGAUUAGAUACCCUUGUAGUC